UUGAACGCUGGCGGCAUGCCUUACACAUGCAAGUCGAACGGCAGCACGGACUUCGGUCUGGUGGCGAGUGGCGAACGGGUGAGUAAUAUAUCGGAACGUGCCCUAGAGUGGGGGAUAACUAGUCGAAAGACUAGCUAAUACCGCAUACGAUCUAUGGAUGAAAGUGGGGAUCGCAAGACCUCAUGCUCGUGGAGCGGCCGAUAUCUGAUUAGCUAGUUGGUGGGGUAAAAGCCUACCAAGGCAUCGAUCAGUAGCUGGUCUGAGAGGACGACCAGCCACACUGGGACUGAGACACGGCCCAGACUCCUACGGGAGGCAGCAGUGGGGAAUUUGGACAAUGGGGGCAACCCUGAUCCAGCAAUGCCGCGUGAGUGAAGAAGGCCUUCGGGUUGUAAAGCUCUUUUGUCAGGGAAGAAACGGUCCGGGCUAAUAUCCUGGGCUAAUGACGGUACCUGAAGAAUAAGCACCGGCUAACUACGUGCCAGCAGCCGCGGUAAUACGUAGGGUGCGAGCGUUAGUCGGAAUUACUGGCGUAAAGCGUGCGCAGGCGGUUGUGCAAGACAGAUGUGAAAUCCCCGGGCUCAACCUGGGAAUUGCAUUUGUGACUGCACGGCUAGAGUGUGUCAGAGGGGGGUAGAAUUCCACGUGUAGCAGUGAAAUGCGUAGAGAUGUGGAGGAAUACCGAUGGCGAAGGCAGCCCCCUGGGAUAACACUGACGCUCAUGCACGAAAGCGUGGGGAGCAAACAGGAUUAGAAUACCCUGGUAGUCCACGCCCUAAACGAUGUCAACUAGUUGUCGGGUCUUAAUUGACUUGGUAACGCAGCUAACGCGUGAAGUUGACCGCCUGGGGAGUACGGUCGCAAGAUUAAAACUCAAAGGAAUUGACGGGGACCCGCACAAGCGGUGGAUGAUGUGGAUUAAUUCGAUGCAACGCGAAAAACCUUACCUACCCUUGACAUGGCAGGAAUCCCGGAGAGAUUUGGGAGUGCUCGAAAGAGAACCUGCACACAGGUGCUGCAUGGCUGUCGUCAGCUCGUGUCGUGAGAUGUUGGGUUAAGUCCGCAACGAGCGCAACCCUUGUCAUUAGUUGCUACGAAAGGGCACUCUAAUGAGACUGCCGGUGACAAACCGGAGGAAGGUGGGGAUGACGUCAAGUCCUCAUGGCCCUUAUGGGUAGGGCUUCACACGUCAUACAAUGGUACAUACAGAGGGCCGCCAACCCGCGAGGGGGAGCUAAUCCCAGAAAGUGUAUCGUAGUCCGGAUUGGAGUCUGCAACUCGACUCCAUGAAGUUGGAAUCGCUAGUAAUCGCGGAUCAGCAUGUCGCGGUGAAUACGUUCCCGGGUCUUGUACACACCGCCCGUCACACCAUGGGAGCGGGUUUUACCAGAAGUAGGUAGCUUAACCGCAAGGAGGGCGCUUACCACGGUAGGAUUCGUGACUGGGUGA
rnacentral:rRNA from 1 species